GCUAGCAAAACCCAUCGCUAAAACCCUAAAAGUCCGUCUAAGAAGACGAUAAACGCGCGCUGGAUUUAUAUUUUGAAAUCUUUAUCAUUUAUUCCCUUUUUUUUAAAUUUUUUUUUCAAAGAAAAGAAGAAAAAAUCCCCAGAUAUUUUCCGGCCAUUUUCGAAUUCCUGAGAAGAGGAGAAAAUGCCGUGUUUUCCGCCUCCCCUUUCAAUCACCAUCUGCGAAAUCAAUCGCGAUUUCAUCACUUGCGAAAGUCUGACUGAUGAUCGAGCGAAGGAGACGUACGGAAAAGUUCUGGGAGUUGUUUUCAGUCCAAUUCCUUUUCAGUCAGAUCUUCUUCUGAACAAUUCCGAGCAAGGUUCAGAGCAGGAAUUAAGGGAGGAUGUUCCGGGAAGGGGUUUAACUGCCCUACAGUUGAUCCUGAGUGACUCAUUCAAGCGAAUUUUUCGUCCCAAGGAUGUGAAUUUGCUAGAAGAAGUGGAUCCUUACGGAGUGAGCUGGCACCAACAUAAACAUAUUAUCGCAUUUAUCUCUGGCCCCAACCAAGUUACUGUACGUGAUUAUGAGGAUUCAGAAGGUAAGGAUCCACACCUUUUGACUAGCGAUUUCCAAAGAGGCAUCACAAUGCUUGAAUGGAGGCCAAAUGGUGGGAAGACACUCUCUGUAGCAUGCAAGCGUGGAAUUUGCAUUUGGUCUGCUUCUUACCCAGGCAAUGCAGCAUCUGUAAGAUCAAGAGUUGCCUCUUUCCUGGGCACCCUCUCCAGAGGAGGCUCUGGAUUUCGAUGGACUCUAGUGGAUUUUCUUGAAAGCCCUAGUGGUGAACAAGUCAGUGCACUCUCUUGGAGUCCAAAUGGGAGAUUUUUGGCAUCUGCAUCAUGUGAGAGCUCGUCAUUCACCAUAUGGGAUGUUGCUCAAGGGUUGGGAACACCUAUUCGACGGGGAUUAGGGGGCAUAUCAAUGCUGAAGUGGUCACCGACAGGAGAUUACUUUUUCACUGCGAAGUUUGACGGAACAUUCUAUCUUUGGGAGACGAACACUUGGACAUCAGAACCUUGGUCUUCCACUGGUGGGCGUGUCACGGGAGCAGCAUGGGAUCCAGAUGGACGUAUGAUACUGCUUGCAUUCUCGGAAUCCAUAACAUUGGGUUCAAUUCACUUUGCUUCAAAGCCUCCAUCAUUGGAUGCACACCUCUUGCCAGUUGACUUGCCGGACAUAGAAUCCUUGACAGGCAGUCAUGGUAUUGAGAAGAUGGCCUGGGAUGCAACGGGAGAGCGAUUGGCUCUAUCAUACAAAGGCGGUAAUGAAACUUACAGUGGUCUUAUUGCAGUGUACGAUGUUAGAAGGACUCCGCUUAUUUCAGCAUCGUUAAUUGGGUUUAUUAGAGGGCCUGGGGAAAACCCAAAGCCGCUUGUUUUUUCCUUCCACAACAAAUGCAAACAAGGGCCAUUGCUAUCCGUGUGCUGGAGCAGCGGCUGGUGCUGUACAUACCCCCUCAUAUUUCGAGCGCAUCUCCUCCCUUGAUCGAGCUAGGUUCGUGCUUUGAGUGAAUGAAGUUUUGGGUGCAGUCUUUACUGCGUUGGAGAGCCACAAAGGGGUAAAAUGACAGAUUUGCCCUCCGGAGCAGAUUUGAAGUGCAUUGCACCCGUUCUCAUUGAAAACAAGGAGCAGAAUCUGUUAGUGGUGAAAGAAUAGGAUGUUGGAGUUGACUCCCCAAUAAGGACCAUGGAUAUGCUGUGCAAAGGGAUUGCGGCUAUGCUAUUUUGGAGAAUAAAUUGCUGUUGUUUCUGUUAGAAGUCGCCUCCAAAGAGAUGAUUAUCGCAACUGAAAGCUUACUUAAAAGCCAACGAAGAGAUUUCAAGCUGGAGCUCCCCUUCAAAUGCAUCUUCUUACACCAAAAAAUGUGUUUCUUGGAGGAAAAACAAAUCUGUUUUGCUGCUUUCAUUCGUGAAAUAUGAAGAACUAGCAUUGGUAAUCUGAUUUGUAUGGAGAGCUUGAAGACUGGCUAUGCAGAGCAGAUGCUGAUUUGGUAUGAGGGAGUGAGAUCUGGGCCUGUCACUGGAUGGGGUUGAUCAUGAACAUAUGCUCUGGCACAAAAAUCAGUCAAAUCCAUACAGUAAAGGCUGUGGAUGUAUGAGAAAAACCAACGGUUAGAAAAAGAUGAGUUUGUUUUAUUUUUUUAUUUUUUUCAGAUGUGUUGGUCACUUGAUGAGACAGGACAUGUUCAUGGUGGGUCCCACCUCAUGAGUAGGUUAGAUCUCGUGCAUGGUUGGCAUAUUAGAAAACUAGAGGCAUUUGGCAGUGUUUUCUCA